rnacentral:lncRNA from 1 species
GGUCACAACAACAUCAAGUGGCAGAGACAACUUAAGCCCAGAAUUGUCUAGCUCAAAAAACACAACCCUUGGCCAUCAAGCUAUGUCUUUGAAUCAUUGAAUUACAUGAAUGCAUUUCCAUAUUUUGUUUUGGUGGAAGCAGUUCGGGGGAUCCAUCAUUUGUGCUUGGCAGUGCCAGCGGGAAAGUCAGUUCUUGGAUGCAGAAAGGGAC